AUGGAGAUCCCCGGCGUCCGACUCCUAUGCCUGGAGCAACUGGACCAUUCGCUGGAGGACCAUACCAGGGACUUUUUCGAUCUGGCGUGCCUUACAGACUUCCCGGACCGCUCGCUCAGUGCGUUUUACUAUGCUGGCCUGAGCGAGCGGUGUAAGGCACGCCUCCCAGCGAACGGUCCCAGAGAGGAUUUCGCCGCGUUCGUGGAGUGGGUGCUGGAGCAAAACGGAUCUCCUUUCACCGUCUGCCCCGCUGAGGAGGAGAUCUCCAGCCCCACUCCCGACCCAGAGACCAGCCAGCCAUCACCCCGCUGCACGGAGCUAGAGACCGCCGCAGCCGCAGAGUCCGAGCCUAUCGCCGACAGGGAGGAGGAACUCGAGAGCGCGACUGACCAGGUGUGUGAGCCGGCAACCCCGUGCGUCGUGGGACGUUUGGUGGAGAUCGAGGGCGUGGAGGAGCGCCCCGCCCACACUCCUGCGACUGAGGGUGAGCUGCAUGUGGUUUCUGGGAAGUAUACAGAAGAAAUUAUGGAUCUAAUAGACUGGUUUGGGGAGGUUAUUCCUGAUCCUUCUGUUCCUUCGCUGGUUCUGUCCAGCCCUGAUCCUCCUGUGUUCCCUCCCAACCUCCCUCUCCCGCCUCCUCUUCGACCUGUCAGUUCUUCUGCUCCUCUUCCGCUGGUUCCGCCCAGCCUCGACCCUUCUGUUUCUCCGCUGGUUCCGUCCAGCCCUGACCCUCCUGUUUCUCUGCUGGUUCCGCCCAGCCCUGACCCUCCUGUUUCUCCGCUGGUUCCGCCCAGCCCUGAUUCUCCUGUUUUUCCGCUGGUUCCGUCCAGCCCUGAUCCUUCUGUGUUCCCUCCCAUCCGCCCUCUCCCGCCUCCUCUUCGACCUGCCAGUUCCUCGUCCUCAUCCCCGCUGGUGCCAGUCAGUCCCGCAGCUCACCCUCAGUCCGCGCCAUCUGGGCGCGGAGUUUCGCCGCAGGACUUCCAGUCACCACCUCCACCUGGGCGUGUGGAUUCCCUGCCUCCGCCUCCAGCCUCCGAGUCCUGGACUCCUCCUCGGUCCUUCGACCCGGCGGCUCCGCCUUGGCUCCUAGCUCCCUCGUCUCCACCGUGGCCCGGCAUCCCACCUGCUCCACCGGGCUCCCUCGUCCCUCCGGCUCCACCUUGGUCAGUCGUCGACCAUCCGCCGCCUCGGGACUCCAUUCCUCUGGCUUCGCCUCGUCGCUCCAUCCCUCCGGCUCUGUCAGGCUCCUCCUUCCCUUCGGCUCCACCUCCAUCCUCAGUCACUCCGGCUCCGCAGCGGUCUUCCGGUGCCCCGCCUCCGCCUUGGUCGCCUGAGCCUUCUGCUCCGCCUUGGCCCUCCGGAUCCUCGGGGUCACCCUGGCUCUGCGGUUGCUCGGCUCCGUCUUGGACUCCUCUGCCAUCGGCUCAGUCUCCGUCAGUCGGCCCCCUGGUGUUGUCGGCCCCUCCUCCACCAUGGCUCCUCCCACCGUCGACUCCACCAUGGGCCGCUUUCCUGGCUGGCCUCUGGAUAUCCAUCUGGCUCCUACUGCUCCGGGCUCCUCCAUGGCUCCUCCCUCCAUCCACUCCACCCCUGGUACCAUGCUCCAUGCUCCUUCUCCAUUGCCUGCCCCUUGCCUGCCCCACGCCCACCUCCUGA
ensembl:lncRNA